CUAAGUCAUGGGCUGGUGCUUUGUAUGUAUGUACAUUGCGUAUGGAUAUACGUGAUGCCGUGUAGCAUGUGCCGAAUGCACGUCCGUCUGCCGCAAAGGGGCAGAAUUGGGGGCGGUAAAGAGUGAGCAGGUGUGCCCGAUGCGAUGUUAACCUUGAAAUGCCCAAACGACGCUACUACGACGAUAAUAUUGUACUGUAUCGACAAUUAAAUAUUAGUUGGAUUGACUUCAGGAAAUACUUUUCUUACACUAUUGAUAAUCCGUAAUACGGUCAUAAUGUAUGUAUUCGGUUCGAAUUUCAGUAAGGUUAUUUUGAAACUAAGGAUCAAACAGAUACAACCAAAAAAAGCCAAUAAUUGGGACAGAGCAUGGGACAGAGUCAAUAACUGAGACCUCGAAUUUUUUAGAAGAUGUAGGUACUACGUUAGAGGUUGGUCGUUGCAGCCCGGAAAGUUUAAAAGGACGAUGCAGCUGUUGGGCGCCUUUACGACUGCUAAGCCUUCAUGACAUUAAAAUUCGGUACAAUCGUUUACUAUAUUUAGCAGUUAUGUACGGAAAUAUUUUGGAAAAUAACUUGCACUGCAAUAAAAACCGAGACUUAAGUAUAUA